rnacentral:rRNA from 1 species
GACGAACCGUGCGAACGUUGUUCGGAAUCACUGGGCUUAAAGGGCGCGUAGGCGGUCGGGCAAGUCCGGGGUGAAAUCCUGCAGCUUAACUGUAGAAGUGCCUUGGAUACUGCUCGGCUCGAGGGAGGUAGGGGUCUGUGGAACUUCUGGUGGAGCGGUGAAAUGCGUUGAUAUCAGAAGGAACGCCGGUGGCGAAAGCGACAGACUGGACCUCUUCUAACGCUGAGGCGCGAAAGCUAGGGGAGCAAACGGG